CAUCACUCCUCCUUAGGGAGGCAUUUCCACGCAGAUUCAACUUCCAUAGGCAUGGCUCUUCAGUACAGGGCUGCUCUUCUCUGCCAGCCCGGCGUUCUCAACUAUCAAGGGCCUCCGGUGAACCAGAGCCAUCAGCAGCCCUCAUUCAGGCCAAUCUGCCGUGACGGAGCCUCAGAGCCUCGCAUGGAGCUUUUUACACUCCCCUUUUCCUAAUGUUAUAUUGGCCCUCCCUGGUGGC